AAGUAACUGUUAGGUGAGGAUUGGUGGGAAAAACCAGCUAUGGGGACAGAGGAGAGGGAGGCUAGUGCGGCACAGGCAGGAGGGAGGGCGGGCAGGAGGGCAGGGCAGGAGAGCCCGGGGUGGGGAACCCAGGUGAGGCCAGCUCAGGGCUGAGCCCCAGAGGGCCCUGCACAGGUGACGCCAGCUCAGGGCUGAGCCUCAGAGGGCCCUGUGCAGGUGAUGCCAACUCAGGGCUGAGCCCCGGAGGACCCUGCACAAAGCAGGCAGCAGCGUUGUGUCCUGGCUUUCCAAGCUUUUCCUUAAAAAAAAUCUAGCGAAUCAGGUUGGUCGGGAAAAUUCGCAUCACAUUUUACUCUGUUUAGGGAGGGGAGGGGAGGGGCGGGAGGA
rnacentral:lncRNA from 1 species